CCUACGGGAGGCAGCAGUGAGGAAUAUUGGUCAAUGGGCGCGAGCCUGAACCAGCCAAGUAGCGUGAAGGAUGACUGCCCUACGGGUUGUAAACUUCUUUUAUAAAGGAAUAAAGUGAGGCACGUGUGCUUUUUUGUAUGUACUUUAUGAAUAAGGAUAGGCUAACUCCGUGCCAGCAGCCGCGGUAAUACGGAGGAUCCGAGCGUUAUCCGGAUUUAUUGGGGUAAAGGGGUGCGUAGGCGGGCAUUUAAGUCGGCGGUCAAAUGUUGGGGCUCAACCCUGGCCGGCCGUCGGAACUGGGUGCCUUGAGUGGGCGAGAGGUAUGCGGAAUGCGUGGUGUAGCGGUGAAAUGCGUAGAUAUCACGCAGAACCCCGAUUGCGAAGGCAGCAUACCGGCGCCCUACUGACGCUGAGGCACGAAAGUGCGGGUAUCAAACAGGAUUAGAUACCCGGGUAGUC
rnacentral:rRNA from 1 species